GAGACAAUGGACGAUGCAAAUAUAUUGGCAUCUCCGCGAUCGAACAGGGAACUCAACUUUAGGUACAUAAUCGAUGCUCCUCUACGCAAAUGCCCUAAACAUCAGAAAAGGGAUCACUUGGGAAAAUGCAGAGACAUCUUCGGAGUUCCUACGAACGGUUGCGGGCUUCCAGCUGCAAAAAUCGUGGACCUACUUGCGAUAAUUUACAGUUUACGAAUAUUUUCCUCUCUCUUACGUUUGUAGCUACGAUGAAAUAAAUCAUUUUAAAAACAA